rnacentral:miRNA from 1 species
GUAACUUGCCAGGGACGGCUGAC